rnacentral:rRNA from 1 species
UACGUAGGGUGCAGGCGUUAAUCGGAAUUACUGGGCGUAAAGCGUGCGCAGGCGGUUUGCUAAGAGAGAUGUGAAAUCCCCGGGCUUAACCUGGGAACUGCGUUUCUAACUGGCAGGCUUGAGUGUGGCAGAGGGGGGUGGAAUUCCACGUGUAGCAGUGAAAUGCGUAGAGAUGUGGAGGAACACCGAUGGCGAAGGCAGCCCCCUGGGCUAACACUGACGCUCAUGCAUGAAAGCGUGGGGAGCAAACAGG